rnacentral:rRNA from 1 species
UACGUAGGGUGCGAGCGUUAAUCGGAAUUACUGGGCGUAAAGCGUGCGCAGGCGGUUUUGUAAGCCAGAUGUGAAAUCCCCGGGCUUAACCUGGGAAUGGCAUUUGGGACUGCAAGGCUCGAGUGCGGCAGAGGAGACUGGAAUUCCUGGUGUAGCAGUGAAAUGCGUAGAUAUCAGGAGGAACACCAAUAGCGAAGGCAGCUCGCUGGGACGUUACUGACACUGAGGCGCGAAAGCGUGGGGAGCGAACAGG